rnacentral:rRNA from 1 species
UACGGGGGGGGCAAGCGUUGUUCGGAAUUACUGGGCGUAAAGGGUUCGUAGGUGGCUUGUUAAGUCAGACGUGAAAUCCCUCAGCUUAACUGGGGAACUGCGUCUGAGACUGAUGAGCUCGAGUGCAGGAGAGGAACGCGGAAUUCCAGGUGUAGCGGUGAAAUGCGUAGAUAUCUGGAGGAAUACCGGUGGCGAAGGCGGCAUCCUGGACCGACAUUGACGCUGAACGGCGAAAGCUAGGGGAGCAAACGGG